AAAAAAUGAAACUUCGAUAUCUGAAGCAAAGACUAAGCAAGUACACAGGCUCUUCCGGCAAUCAACAGGCAAGGCUAUAGUGAUGAUGCACCUUUCAUGGAUGCAAUUAAUAUUUGCCUUGAUCAAAGCUGUUUUUCUUGGAUAAUUUUCUGAAUCAUCUCAUUACACGCAACUCCAAUGUAUCGAAGUUCAUUNUAACAUGUCUUUAAGUAAUUCAUGUAUCCAGUUGAAUCCAAAAGAAAGACCUGUCUUCAGCAGAGGCAAUGUAUGGCUGUUUACAUUGAUUUAUAAUAUGGCUAAUAAGGAGGAGAAUUAUCGUAGGAAUAUGACAUUUACAUUAUAAACAUUAAGCAGAAGAGCUGUACCCUCUUCCUGCACCGUAUUCCUUGAUUAUUAACAAUUUGAGGUAGGUCCAAUAACAGCUUCCUCUUACACUGUUUCAGCAAGUCAUCCCUGAACACCUGACUUCCCAUACUAGUAAAGUUUGGAGAUUCGCGGCAUUGAACAUUUGUGCUUUCGAUCAUGAUAAAGCCUUAAUAUAACUGCUGCAGUUUCUUCUAUUGCUUUCCCUGUCACUUCGAUUACUGGCCAGACAGGAUUUUGUGCAAAAACCCUGCAAGCACAUUCCAACUCCUCUCUCACAUAGUCCAUCUCAGAAUAAUUACUCCUCACUUCUUGGCUGAACCCAAGACUUCUAGCUCUUGCUUUUCUGAUCGCCUGUAAAACCACAGGAUUAAUGGUAAGACCAAAAACCUUCUCUGAGUCAACCUCAAAGAGGCUCUUUGGCAAUUCUACACCCAUCACAAUAGGCACAUUUGCCACUUUGUAUCCUUUCUGAGCUAGGUAAAUUGACAACGGUGUCUUUCCAGUACGAGAAACACCGGCAAGAACAAUGUCAGCCUUGUACAAGUUCUGAGGCAGGGCACCGUCAUCUUGCUUGAUGGUGAAUUCAAUGGCUUCAAUACGUCGAAAGUAUUCAUCAGAAAGGGGAAAGUUCCUGCCAGGAGCUCCACGGGGUAGACCAGAGGGCGAGACGCCCAGAUGAGAAGCAACUGCCUCUGUUAUUGGACCCAGUAUGUCAGUAGAUGGUAUUCCCCAUAACUUGCAGGCUUGUCUAGCUGAUUCAGCCAUGGAAGGAUCAGCUAGAGUGUAGACUACCAUUGCACCUUCUUUAGCUGCUUGUUUUAUUAUCUCCAUUAACGUUUCUAUAUCAUCUAUCCCUGAAAACAGAUGAGUAUUUACAGGACAACCACGAUCGACCAAGCAGUGCUCGAACUGCCCCAAGGCAGCGUUAACGGAGUGCUCCACCGUCCAUCCAGUGCCGUCAGAAACCAUGUAAAUGGACUUCCCACCAGUGACCUCCAACUCCACGGCUUCAUCAUCUCUGUUG
rnacentral:misc_RNA from 1 species